rnacentral:rRNA from 1 species
UAGGGAAUCUUCGGCAAUGGGGGGAACCCUGACCGAGCAACGCCGCGUGAGUGAAGAAGGUUUUCGGAUCGUAAAGCUCUGUUGUUAAGGAAGAACGAGUGUGAGAAUGGAAAGUUCAUACUGUGACGGUACUUAACCAGAAAGGGACGGCUAACUACGUGCCAGCAGCCGCGGUAAUACGUAGGUCCCGAGCGUUGUCCGGAUUUAUUGGGCGUAAAGCGAGCGCAGGCGGUUAGAUAAGUCUGAAGUUAAAGGCAGUGGCUCAACCAUUGUAGGCUUUGGAAACUGUUUAACUUGAGUGCAGAAGGGGAGAGUGGAAUUCCAUGUGUAGCGGUGAAAUGCGUAGAUAUAUGGAGGAACUCCGGUGACGAAAGCGGCUCUCUGGUCUGUAACUGACGCUGAGGCUCGAAAGCGUGGGGAGCGAACAGG